rnacentral:rRNA from 1 species
GAUGAACGCUAGCGACAGGCUUAACACAUGCAAGUCGAGGGGCAGCACAGGUAGCAAUACCGGGUGGCGACCGGCGCACGGGUGAGUAACGCGUAUGCAACUUACCUAUCAGAGGGGGAUAACCCGGCGAAAGUCGGACUAAUACCGCAUGAAGCAGGGGCCCCGCAUGGGGAUAUUUGCUAAAGAUUCAUCGCUGAUAGAUAGGCAUGCGUUCCAUUAGGCAGUUGGCGGGGUAACGGCCCACCAAACCGACGAUGGAUAGGGGUUCUGAGAGGAAGGUCCCCCACAUUGGUACUGAGACACGGACCAAACUCCUACGGGAGGCAGCAGUGAGGAAUAUUGGUCAAUGGGCGUAAGCCUGAACCAGCCAAGUCGCGUGAGGGAUGAAGGUUCUAUGGAUCGUAAACCUCUUUUAUAAGGGAAUAAAGUGCGGGACGUGUCCCGUUUUGUAUGUACCUUAUGAAUAAGGAUCGGCUAACUCCGUG